rnacentral:rRNA from 1 species
UGCGAAUGGCUCAUUAAAUCAGUUAUCGUUUAUUUGAUAGUACCUUACUACUUGGAUAACCGUGGUAAUUCUAGAGCUAAUACAUGCUAAAAACCCCAACUUCGGGAGGGGUGUAUUUAUUAGAUAAAAAACCAAUGCCCUUCGGGGCUCUUUGGUGAUUCAUGAUAACUUCUCAGAUCGCAUGGCCUUGCGCCGGCGACGGUUCAUUCAAAUUUCUGCCCUAUCAACUUUCGAUGGUAAGGUAUUGGCUUACCAUGGUUUCAACGGGUAACGGGGAAUUAGGGUUCGAUUCCGGAGAGGGAGCCUGAGAAACGGCUACCACAUCCAAGGAAGGCAGCAGGCGCGCAAAUUACCCAAUCCCGACACGGGGAGGUAGUGACAAUAAAUACUGAUACAGGGCUCUUUUGGGUCUUGUAAUUGGAAUGAGUACAAUUUAAACCUCUUAACGAGGAACAAUUGGAGGGCAAGUCUGGUGCCAGCAGCCGCGGUAAUUCCAGCUCCAAUAGCGUAUAUUAAAGUUGUUGCAGUUAAAAAGCUCGUAGUUGAACCUUUGGCCUGGCCAGCAGGUCCGCCUCACCGCGUGCACUUGUCAGCCGGGCCUUUUCUUCUGGAGAACCGCAUGCCCUUCACUGGGUGUGUUGGGGACCAGGACUUUUACUUUGAAAAAAUUAGAGUGUUCAAAGCAGGCCUUUGCUCGAAUACGUUAGCAUGGAAUAAUAGAAUAGGACGUGCGGUCCUAUUUUGUUGGUUUCUAGGACCGCCGUAAUGAUUAAUAGGGACAGUCGGGGGCAUCAGUAUUCAAUUGUCAGAGGUGAAAUUCUUGGAUUUAUUGAAGACUAACUACUGCGAAAGCAUUUG